rnacentral:lncRNA from 1 species
CCCAAGGGCCCCCGUGCCGCCCGCGUGCUGCUCCAAGGUCGGAGGACUGAUCAAGGCGGCUCCAAAGUGCCUUUGCGCAGUUCUGUUGUCCCCGUUGGCGAAGCAGGCUGGAAUCCAGCCUGGGAUUGCGAUCACCAUCCCCAAACGCUGCAACAUCCGCAAUCGCCCCGCCGGAAAGAAGUGUGGAGGUAAUUAAUUAAAUAAGCAUAAUUUGAACUUCUCGUAAAUUCAUUAUCUGAUUAAGACGACAUUAAUUUAUGACGGAGAAAACAGAGUUUCUAAUUGUGUUGCUUGGAUUGCAGCUUUCACUCUCCCGUAAGUUGAAGAUCACAGUUACGUCGGGGUUGCUUGCUGGUAAUUGUAGGUGAAGAUCGGAGUGUGAAAUAAAGAAGAGUUUGCCAUCGUGAGGCAACGUUUUCUUGUUUUGGUUCCCUAGCUAAUUACUGAUUGUGUACGUUGAUUCCCUCUUAAACCAAUCUUUGUCGGUGUAUUGUAUCUACCACUUCACUAUAUCUAUCUAAAUAAUGACUUUGGUUAUGUGGUGUGAAUUUCUGGGAGUAUUAUCAUAUCAAAGUUGAAGCAAAGCAACUGGUCUCUUCAAUAUACCAAUUUAAUAUUUAAAAUUACCACAUCACUUACAUUUCGAUAUAUUUACAUAUAACCCUUAUCUUUGAAAUAUAUACUUCAGUGGCGAUUAAACCUACCGUGAGCGAUGGUUCACGGUAAGGUAACGACUACAGAAUAAAAGAACAUAAAAUUUAUUCAUUUAGCAUCUCUUCAUAAAAAAUUUAUACCUCCAUUGACGAUGGCGUUGCAGCGGAGCUUCUCCAGUAAGGUUGGGAGGAGGGCCGUGAAUGGAGUGGUCCCGCCGACAAAAGCAUUUAUUUGAUCCGUCUAUCUAGCGCGUGGCAGCUACGGGAGUCAUCGUUGUUCACUGAACUCUCUCAGCAAGUCAUCUAUGCCCUGUUUUGCUCUCGGCUCCAGCCACCGUGCCUCUGUUCACGGCGCAUCCGUCUUACUCUAGUAUAGGUAAGCUGCUUCUCUUUUGUGACCGCUCCUUUACGUUGAUUGCAGAUCGCAAAACCAAAAGAGUCAUGUCAAUUUGUAUAUAUGCUUCC